UACGAAUGGGGCAAGCGUUUGUUCGGAAUCACUGGGCUUAAAGCGUAUGCAGGUGGCCAUGCAAGUCAGAAGUGAAAUCCCUGGGCUCAACCCAGGAAUUGCUUUUGAAACUGCACGGCUAGAAUCCCGGAGAGGUUAGUAGAAUUCCGAGUGUAGAGGUGAAAUUCGCAGAUAUUCGGAGGAAUACCAGUGGCGCAAGCGACUAACUGGACGGGCAUUGACACUCAGAUACGAAAAGCGUGGGUAGCAAACAGG
rnacentral:rRNA from 1 species